rnacentral:snRNA from 15 species
AGACAUAAGUGAACACCAGGGACCAGGAUGAUCACGAAUGCCCUGCCCCCAGGUGGAGGCUCGUCUUUGCAUUUCGGUGUAUUGAAGCCUACGACGAUCCCUGAUCUGCCUCGCUCGGACGCAUAGUUUUUGAUAGUGGAGAGGUCUUCGGAUCAUCCCUU